UAGUUGGUGGGGUAAAGGCCUACCAAGGCGACGAUCAGUAGCGGGUCUGAGAGGAUGAUCCGCCACACUGGAACUGAGACACGGUCCAGACUCCUACGGGAGGCAGCAGUGGGGAAUUUUGGACAAUGGGGGCAACCCUGAUCCAGCCAUUCCGCGUGAGUGAAGAAGGCCUUCGGGUUGUAAAGCUCUUUCAGCUGGAACGAAACGGUACAUCCUAAUACGGUGUGCUAAUGACGGUACCAGCAGAAGAAGCACCGGCUAACUACGUGCCAGCAGCCGCGGUAAUACGUAGGGUGCGAGCGUUAAUCGGAAUUACUGGGCGUAAAGCGUGCGCAGGCGGAUUGUUAAGCAAGAUGUGAAAUCCCCGGGCUUAACCUGGGAAUGGCAUUUUGAACUGGCAGUCUAGGGUGUGUCAGAGGGGGGUGGAAUUCCACGUGUAGCAGUGAAAUGCGUAGAGAUGUGGAGGAACACCAAUGGCGAAGGCAGCCCCCUGGGAUAACACUGACGCUCAUGUACGAAAGCGUGGGUAGCAAACAGGAUUAGAUACCCUGGUAGUCCACGCCCUAAACGAUGUCAACUGGUUGUUGGGGGAGUGAAAUCCCUUAGUAACGAAGCUAACGCGUGAAGUUGACCGCCUGGGGAGUACGGUCGCAAGAUUAAAACUCAAAGGAAUUGACGGGGACCCGCACAAGCGGUGGAUGAUGUGGAUUAAUUCGAUGCAACGCGAAAAACCUUACCUACCCUUGACAUGUCCAGAACCCUGCAGAGAUGCGGGGGUGCCCGAAAGGGAAUUGGAACACAGGUGCUGCAUGGCUGUCGUCAGCUCGUGUCGUGAGAUGUUGGGUUAAGUCCCGCAACGAGCGCAACCCUUAUCAUUAGUUGCUACGCAAGGGCACUCUAAUGAGACUGCCGG
rnacentral:rRNA from 1 species